CCCUGUAGGAGCUGCCGCAGGCUGCGAUCUUUUGCCUUUGAUUUUUUAAAAACAAAAUCAAAAGAUCGCAGCCUGCGGCAGCUCCUACAGGG
rnacentral:misc_RNA from 1 species